rnacentral:rRNA from 1 species
GAUGAACGCUAGCUACAGGCUUAACACAUGCAAGUCGCGGGGCAGCAUGGGGGUUGCUUGCAACUCCCGAUGGCGACCGGCGCACGGGUGAGUAACGCGUAUCCAACCUGCCCUUCACCACGGGAUAACCCGGCGAAAGUCGGACUAAUACCGUAUGUUGUCCAUUGACGGCAUCCGAUUUGGACGAAAGUCUUUGCGGUGAAGGAUGGGGAUGCGUCCGAUUAGCCAGACGGCGGGGUAACGGCCCACCGUGGCUACGAUCGGUAGGGGUUCUGAGAGGAAGGUCCCCCACACUGGAACUGAGACACGGUCCAGACUCCUACGGGAGGCAGCAGUGAGGAAUAUUGGUCAAUGGGCGUAAGCCUGAACCAGCCAAGUAGCGUGCAGGAUGACGGCCCUAUGGGUGGUAAACUGCUUUUAUGCGGGGAUAAAGUGGCCCACGUGUGGGCUUUUGCAGGUACCGAAUGAAUAAGGACCGGCUAAUUCCGUG